rnacentral:lncRNA from 1 species
UAGCCUUUAUUGUCAGAGGAGAAGUAAGAGCAGGUGGACUCAAAGAUCUCAAGCUGUGGUUAGUACCUUCCUAGUAUUCAAGACCCUGAAAAUGAACAACAUUUCUUUUCUUCUCUUACAGCCGUCUCCCCUUCACAAGUUGAAUGCACUCAUGGACCACGGAGUGAAUCCAGCGUAUCACCCUAGUCUACACUUUGGUAGGAGAAGAGCAGUUACUCAGGACAGCCGUGCUAGCCUGGACUAAUCUGGAUACAUUGUCCCACACCAGAAAUAAACAGGCCGUCAACCCCAAAUGUCAAGCAUGACACAAGGAAGUUGGAAGGACCCACCAAACUCAAGGAUUCUCCUAGCACACAAAC